GCACGCACAUGCACACACACCACAUACACAAACACACCACACAUACCCCCCACACACACUAUACCCACACAACAUACACACCCUACACAGCACACACACCCACACACACCACACACAUCACACACACAUGCACACACCCCACACACCACACACACUACACCACACAGACCACACACACCACACACCACACAUACACCACACACAGACACACCAACACACCACACACACCCCACACACACACUGUACCCAGAUAGCACACAUGCCCCACACAGCACACACACACCCACACACACACCAUACACAUCGUGCACACUCCACAUACCACACACACUACAUACCACACAGUACACAUAUACCACACCGCACACACACCACACCACAUAUGGCACACACACACACACCACACACACCACACACACACUAUACCCACACAGCACACAUACCGCACACAGCACACACACCCCCAACACACCACACAUCGCACACACACUACACAGACACACAGACCCCACACACACCACACAUCGCACACACUAUACACACACGCACACACCCCACACACCGCACACACACCACACAUCGCAGACAAACACUACACACACUACAUACCACACACACCACACACGUACCGCACACACACACCCCACACACACCACACAUCGCACACACACACUACACACACACACCCCCCACACAGCACACACACACCCACACACCACACAUCGCAGACACACACACCACACACACAUGCAGGCGCACACACACACCCCCACAUACCACACACCACACAUGUACCACACACACUGCACACACACCACACACACACACCAAUACACCACACACAUACCCCACACACACUAUACCCACACAGCACACACGCACACACCCCACACACACCACACAUCGCACACACACACUGUACACACAGACACACCACACACACACACACACACACACUCUCUUCAUCACCACCUUCCCUGCUUG
rnacentral:lncRNA from 1 species